rnacentral:snoRNA from 1 species
AUGGCCCUAACUGAAGACCGGCAGUUAGUUAUACUGUAGCUGUCGGUUUCAAGCAGAGGCCUAAAGGACUGUCUUCCUAUGGUCUGUUGGCUGUUCUGGAAACUCAGCAGGGAAUGGCUGUUUCAUUUGGAAGAAACAACA